AAAGAAAAAUGAAAUAGUAAAUAUAUAAGAAGAAUUAAAAAAUUUUGAGUAACAAACAAAUAAAAGUAUAAGCAGUUAAUCAACAAUAGUAGAAGUGACCAUAGAUACAAUAAAACUGAGAGUUGUAUAAGUCGAGGAAAGAGUACAAGAGUUGGCUGAAAGAAAAGGCAAUAGUCAGUAAAGAAUUAAAGAAAGAAUGAAAUAUGACUAAUAGAAAAAGUCGGUUAAAAAAUAUUACUAACCGGCUGUCCAAAAAAUAUGCGAUUGCAGUAGUACAAAAAUCAAGUGAAGCAGCAACUUACAAAAUUAAUUAGAAUAUAUAAGUUGUAAAACUUAUAGUCAAAUAAUUUUAAACAGAAAUAGUAAGAAAACACCAUCACAACAAUCGAAAAAAAUAAUAUACAUAACACACUGGUUGCAAUUAUUUCGCAAUUGUCAUCCUGGUUAAUUUACUGUGUAAAAUAUGAGUUAAGCCAAUAGAUAAGUUAAGCUGACAGAUAGGGCCGACACAAAUUCCAUACAAAUCUAUAAUUAAGUAAAAUAGUUAAACUGAUAGGUAUUUCGCACAAAAGCCUAAAUAUAAAGAAAUUCUGACAUGUCGAUAAAAGGAAAUGGAAUUUAAUUAGAAAGUAUACCUGCCCAAAUUAAGAAAAUACCUCCACGUGGACUAAAGAAAACCUGAUUUUGUCAGAAAUUAUAUGUAAAUAAAUGGAAGGUAAUUAAAAGUAUUUGGUAUAUAUAAGAAGGAAAGAAUGAAUUAGAACUAAUAGUAAAAUUGUAAUAUUUUUUUC
rnacentral:lncRNA from 1 species